UACGGAGGGGGCUAGCGUUGUUCGGAAUUACUGGGCGUAAAGCGCGCGUAGGCGGCUUGGUAAGUUGGAGGUGAAAGCCCGAAGCUCAACUUCGGAAUUGCCUUCAAAACUACCAGGCUAGAGGCAGAGAGAGGAGAGCGGAAUAUCCAGUGUAGAGGUGAAAUUCGUAGAUAUUGGAUGGAACACCGGUGGCGAAGGCGGCUCUCUGGCUCUGUUCUGACGCUGAGGUGCGAAAGCGUGGGGAGCAAACAGG
rnacentral:misc_RNA from 1 species